UACAGAGGUCUCAAGCGUUGUUCGGAUUCAUUGGGCGUAAAGGGUGCGUAGGUGGCGCUGUAAGUCGGGUGUGAAAUUUCGGAGCUUAACUCCGAAACUGCAUUCGAUACUGCGGUGCUUGAGGACUGGAGAGGAGACUGGAAUUUAUGGUGUAGCAGUGAAAUGCGUAGAGAUCAUGAGGAAGACCAGUGGCGAAGGCGGGUCUCUGGACAGUUCCUGACACUGAGGCACGAAGGCCAGGGGAGCAAACGGG
rnacentral:rRNA from 1 species